CUGAGUGUCAGUGAGCUGAAGUAGCUGAAGGUUGUUCUCUGCUACAACUGUACAUACAUAAAGAAAACUCAACCCCUGUCAGCUCCUACAUCGGUUGGGUGGGGAGGAAAACGAAUCAUUUGUUAUAAGGGAAAACUCAACCCCUCUCCUUAACAGACGCGUUUUAAAAACCUUGAGAGAAAAUCCAAAGAAGACAAUAUCUGCUAGCGGUGGCUUGAGCUGUUACAAAACACUCCAAACUCCAGACUAUCGACUCGAAUAUACAGAGAUAGGAACCUUCAAGAAUGGAGCUUACACAAAAAGAAGCAAAACAGACAGGUCCAGCUACAGACAGCAAUCAAGAAUUCAAGAUUUCAACAAAGUUCUGUAUAAACUUACCCGAUCUUCAUCAGCUGUGACAUGAACAGGAAUGAAAACCAGAAGAAAACCAAGAGAGAGGAAGCAACUUAGCAAGAACAUAACAGCUUUUUCUUGAGAGACUAAUAAUGGGAAAGGAAGAGAAGGAAAGCUUCUUAUCAUGAUUGGCUCAUUUGACAAAAACAAAGGCUUUAUUAUUAUCUUCUCAUGUGGGUUUGUGUUUGUCUGUACUUUUUUCUGAUUGACAUGCCUCCAUUUUCAAUGCAGGAGUCUGCUAAAAGGAAAGGGGCUCACCACCAAUCACAGUUCGACUCGUGUUUAGAGAAAGGCCCAAGAAACAGAUACUGAUAAUCUUCUCAAACUUAGGCAUUUCACUUACGCAAAGAGUACUCAAAUCAAGUUGAAAUGGAUAGCUUUUAUGUUGAUCUGCUAAGAUCCUGCCCUUAUCAUGAUGGGACAAAGAAGCACAUUUUUUCUUGUACAUACUCAAACUAUACCAUUUCAUUAUCAAUACUUCAAGCUUCAUGUGGUUGGGAUCUUACUGUUGAUACCCACAGCCUCUUAUUUUGAA